UUCCUACGGGGCGCAGCAGUAGGGAAUCUUCCACAAUGGACGAAAGUCUGAUGGAGCAACGCCGCGUGAGUGAAGAAGGGUUUCGGCUCGUAAAGCUCUGUUGGUAGUGAAGAAAGAUAGAGGUAGUAACUGGCCUUUAUUUGACGGUAAUUACUUAGAAAGUCACGGCUAACUACGUGCCAGCAGCCGCGGUAAUACGUAGGUGGCAAGCGUUAUCCGGAUUUAUUGGGCGUAAAGCGAGCGCAGGCGGGUGCUUA
rnacentral:rRNA from 1 species